rnacentral:tRNA from 1 species
AUCUCUUGAGUAUGAACAGUACAUUUGCCUUCCAAGCAAAAGGUUUAAAUCACUUUAAAAGAGAUA